AAAUUUUAUUCAAAAUCUGACACGGUGAACUGAAAAAUACCUAAUUUAUUUUUAAUUUGAAAAUUUACCUGAAAUCAAAAACUAUAAUCGUAAACCAAAAACUUUAAAAAUAUUCAUAAUACUGGAAACAUAUUCGAAAUAUCCAAAUAUAUCUAAUAAAUACAACAUAUUUAUAAUCGGGUCUAGGGUAGGAUCCAGACUCAAACAAAGACAUUCGGGUCAAAAAAACCCAAUAGGCUAUCUUCUCUAGACCUGAACUAAACCUAUAUUUUCGGGUCGGUUCGUUUUUUUUUUUUGAUCUGGAUAUAGUUCUCACGCCUAAAAGAAAUUAACUUACGUAAAAAGGUACAUAUAAGAUCUCAAAUAAACUAAUUCGUAGAUUAUAUAACUGUUAAAAUUAUAUUUUUCGAUAUAACAAGAAUUUGUAUAUAAUAUAAUCCAAAAUAAACCCGCGCUUUCCAAGCGCGGAUCAAAAUCUAGUUCAACAUUCCUAUUGGUAAAACAAUUUAUUAAACCAAAUAUAUUUAGUUAUGAGAAUACCAUUUUAUAUAUAGAUGCACAAACAACAUCAUUGCAUUUAAUUUAUUAUUCCAUAUCAAAGCUUUCGAUGUAGAAACAAAAUACAUUUGAUCAUAUAGAAUACAUGCUAAUGAUGUUCAUAUAUUAAUUAUUGGUAUUCUUAUUGGUCAAGAGUGUGGCCAUUGUACUACACAAGCAAUCCUCUCUCGAAGAAGCCUCCAUUGCUUCAAUAAGCUUAUUGUUCUUUUCAAUACAAUUAUCUAUUAUUUUCAGUUGAGAAUCAAUUAAUUUAUCCAUAUUUAAAUGUCGGAUUGCUUCAAACUGUUCGGUCUCCAAAAUAAUCUUGUUUUCUUCAAGGUAUUUGAUUAAAUUUUUCUCCAACCCCUAAAUUGCAAAAAAUAUAAUUAACAUUUGUAAAAAAAACAAAGCACAUAAGUGUAUGAAUAUUGUAAACUCACCCUCACAUGAUCUUCAUCUUCUUUUGAUUCGCCCUUCAUAAGAAUGAGUUCACCAAUAAGAUCGAAAACUUCAACAUUUGUGGAAGCCAUUCUUUUCUUUAAUGAAAUUAAUCUUGAAUGAUAUUUAAAAGUUUGCCUUCACUUCUUUAUCAUUUUGGCACAUUUAUAGAUUUGAUGAAUCAAGUCAGUCAACAAUAUUAAAUAAAUUAUUUAUAUUGAUGUUAUUCUUGGUCAAACAUAUUUACCAAUAUAUAAUACCAUAAACGUUCCAAUUUAGAGUAUUGAAUAAAACAAUUCUUGAAAAUAUAAUAUAUUAUCAUAUAUAUCUGGUGUAGCAAAAAAAAUCCUUAAUUUAUUUUUAAUUUCUACUGAACGAAUUGAUGUCACAAACAUUUUUUUUAUUUUGCUAGUAAAGUUUUUAAUAUUUUUUUCUUGUUCUCUUUUUUUUUUUGCCACAUUUUCUUGUUCUCUUUAAAACUAAAAAAAAAUGUGAUCUAAAUAUAUUUUAUUAAUAUUAUUUAAAUUUCACAUAAUUAUUAAUGUUAUAUAGGAUAAAAAAAUAAAUAUAAUGUUCCAGUAUGACAGUCCAAUAUUGUUAGAAAUUUUCCCUAAAUAUUAAUAGAAUAAAAAUACUAUUUAAAUUUAUGUAUAAAUUAUGAUAUACCUGAAUAUCAGUAAAUUAGAAACCAAAAAAAAAAUUAUUUUUAACGCUGAUUCAUUCAGUUAUCAAAGGAUAUAAUUCUGAGAAUACAAAACGCAAACCUAAAACCAUCAAAACACUCACUUAUAGGUGAUAUAGAACUGCUCAUAGAGCAACAAUACAACACAUCUUAGAAGAAGAACCCAACAGUAAUUCUAGUUUUUUUUCUGGGAUCAAACUCCAUGGUAGAUUUACUUCAGGUCAUAAAAUCCUAAUUCAAAUGAUAUCGUAACCAUGAUGGGCCAUUCCUAGAAAUUUAUAACUGAACAUAGUGAUUGCGGGUAACUAACUACACAAAAUCUCCAUUGUAGCAUGAUUUUGUUUCUACAACAUAUGGUCCAGUUACCAAAUAAUGGUUUUAUUGUGGCAUAUCCCAAUGUCGUCCACUCGUUGCCAAAACUGAGGGUACACGAUAGACGUAUGUUCAUGUUCUCUCAUGUCUUCCAUAGACAUAUUUUCGCUGCAGCACAAACCUGACAUGAGGAAAAGCAAAGAUUAACAUCUUGUUUAACCGUCAUGCCCAGGUAACCAUAGAACCUGACAAAGCCACAAGAGCAAUUAAUCUAACAUACAACGACAGCUACAAAAAAAACUAUCUGAUAACUUAAACAAAGGGUUUUCCUGAAGUAUCUACUAUCCCGGUCUGGGUAAUCCAUAAAAAUGUACCAGACUGUUGCUACUCAAGAUUAGGUCUCAGUCAUGUAGCUUCUGGACUUGGUGAGCCAAUGCAAACGCAUAAACCUCCUCUUGAUCCGACUAGCUUGGGUGAAGCAAAGUUGUUAGUUGAAGUUGAACUUGACAAGACCUUCCCGAAACAAAUUGUCUUAGAUGAUAAACAAAGUAAUAUAUUUUUGGUGGAUGUUGAGUACACAUGGAUUCCAAGUGUAUGUGGUAGAUGUGGAAACUUAGGACACAAAGAGAAAAGAUGUCUCCUCCCGGCUGUGCAAACGAGUGUGAAAAAAUCAAAGCAAGAUCUGCCAAAUGAAGAUUUGGAAAAAGAACAAACUCAGAUCAAUAUUGCAUCAGGUCAUAUGGUGGUACAAGAAGAAAAUUCAGAAGCUAGUUUGGUUUCAGCUGAAAAAGCACAAGGUAUUCUAGUGUGAAAAGCACUACUGAAACAAAGUUUGAAGAGAUGCAAACACAAGAGGGUGUUGAACUGAAUGAUCCUACAACACCAGCAAACUUCUCCAUUUACUCUAAGGUAACAGUAGCCACUAGCUCCAACUUUCAGUCUACUUCAUCGCCAUUAGCAGGGACCUUACCUGCUCCAACUCAAAAUUCUAUUAUGGAAGGAAUUCCAUCACCUAUAAUUGUUGCUGAGACCAAUUUGGUUUCAAGGAACAAUUCAUUGGCCUUCAUGUAUUCACCUAUACAUGACAGCCUCUCUCAUAAUCAAACUGAUCACCAAACUGAGCAGGAUGAUCGAGAUGAGUUUCUGAGUGAUGCUACGGCAAAUCUCAGCAUGUCAAGAGGUGGAAGGCCAAUAAAACCACUUCAAAAAUAUCAAGAUAUGGAUUGGAAAACAAUACGAGGGAAAGGUAAACGAGGUCGUCGAGGCCGUGGAUACCAUACUCCCUCGUGUUUGCUCUUUCUUAUCUUGUUUCAUUAAGCUUAUGUAGUAUAAGUUUCUCUUUUUCUAAGCUAUUGCUUGGCUAGAUAUGAGGCUUGUCUCAUCAUACUUUCUAAAACUUUAUGGUUGCAAAACUAUUGUAUGUUUAUGUUUUUUAAUUGAAUGCCCUUUUUUCAAAAAAAAAACUUAACAAAGGGGGAGAUAGAAAAUCUCCAAGAAUCUAAGGCUAAAAUCUCACAACGAAGCCAUGGAUCAACAAAGAGUGAUCGAUACAGGAAGGAAACCAAUCGAAAUAGAUGAUGAACCACCACACCCUUGACCACCCAUCGACAACUUGUAGAAAUACAUGUUUCAGGAGUAAAUUAUAGUACCCAAAGGAUAUUGUUGGUGUUAAUCAAGUUAUAGCCAAAUGAUUCUGUAAGAUAUUUGAAAAUGAAAUAAAUAAACAACUAUAUUUGAUUUUAUAUGAUCUAUGAUAAAUUAAUUACAAAUAAGCUUUGUAUAUUAUAAAUUUUUAUUAUUCUAAUUUAGGACUGGGAAUACUGUUGAGACACAGUCUCUCUGACAUGUUUAACUAAAAUUGACAUUGUAUUAGUUCUUUAAACAAAUGUAGAUUUGGGAGAAAUCCUUGUCAACCAUGACCAUUACAAAUGAUAUUUACCUCUUAGUAAUAGUAUGAAAAUAUUAGUAACAAAAUUACGUUGAUGUCCAUCCUCAUAUGUUUAUACCAUCCCUUUGCUGAUUGGGUUUCCCACUAAGCCAUAAAUUAUCCACCUAUAACCGUUUCCAUUAAAUUUUGCACUGAGUCUUGCCUUUAGAAUGUACAUAUGCUUAAAAUCCUCACCCAUAUUAAAUAAUUGAUGCAUGUUGAAUUCACCACCAGGUAAUUUAUUUGAACUAACCUCUAUUCUUGUUCUUCUUCAUCACAAAAUUUGUCAUCAAUAGGAGGGUAGAGUUCAUCUUCAUAAGAAAUGUUAUCCUUAUAGUUUACCUCCAGUUUCAAAAGUCUCUUUCUGCUGCCUAAACUACUUCAACAACAUAACCUCAAGCUCAUCUUACUACAACAACACAGAAUCAAGCUCAUCAUACUCCAACAACACAGACUCAAACUCCACCUGCCACCAUAACUUAACAAUCAGAAUUAGAUAGGUGGUAUGCUCAAGAGCUUGGUGCGCUUUGAUCAAUGUCUAAGUUGUUGUCUUUUGACUCUGAACAAUAUUAUGGUUUGUACUAUUUUGGUAAACUCGGUUGUUAAUGUAUAUUAUUUUCUUUUAAAUAUAUUUCUGCUUUUAUAAAUUAGGUUUUUUUGAAAUUUUUUUGGAAAAGUCAAUAAGAACGUGACAAAAUUCGUGACUAAAUCAAAUCACAGUUUGGUCAGGUAUAUUUUGUGGAAAAAAUAGGCACGGCUUAGCCACAUAAAUUUGUUACUACAAUAGUUACGAAUAUAAACAUAACCACUUUUUGGGAAAAGAAAACACAAAAAUAAACGUGUCAAAUUUCUGGCAAAAAAACCACAAAAAUUUCGUGACAAUAUCUUGACUAUAUUGCCACAGAAAAAUAUGACUAAAACAUGUUUAUACGUCCACGAUUUGUCACUAUUUUUUUCUGGAUACGAACGUAUCAUUACUAUUCAUGGUUAUUUUCUGAACGUGUCAAAAUUCUGACAAAAAUAUUUGUCGUAGUCACAAUUUAAAUUGUGGCUAUUCCCUAGAUUUUACUAGUGAAUUUAUAUUCUGUUUUUUUUUUGAAACUCUGAAAUUAUAUUAUGUUACCAUGAUCUACUGGCCAGUGAAGUGACAUGACUAGCAAGCUAGGAUCAAAAAGUAAUGGAAAAUCAGAAGUUUGUUACAUGCAAUUUGGCUUUAGCUAAUACUAAUACCAUGUAAAAAUAUAUCAUGUCAUGUGAGAAAACAUUCCAGCGAGAGUUAUUUAGCAGAGUGACUGGACGAGAGAGGAAAGCGUUACGUGUAUGAUAAGUUGCACUUGGUUCAGGAUUUUUGACAAAAGAGUCCCUGGACGUAAUAUUAUGUCUUAGUUUAAGAUUUCUAAAGUUCCUGGUCAGCCUACUAACUUGCGACAUUAGGCCAUUAGGGUGACAUGCAACUUUUUUGUCGUGGAUACAAUGUAACUGACUGAUGUUUUAAGUCACGAAUCUGGUAGUAGAGGAGCUUGAAUUUUUCUUUAAAAAGCUGGUCAAAUUCAAUCAUACCAGUAGGUUUGGGAUCAUUUGAUAUUUGUUGUCAGUAGGUUUGAGAUUGUUUUGUAUUGAUGCCCAUGUUUCCAUUUCUGUACAAAAUUAUUAUGGAUGCAUCUUGUGCUAGUUCACCUCUUCAAAACCCACAAUAUACAUUACUAUUUUGCAUUUAUUAGUAUGGAGCAAUGUUCGAAACUACGCUAGGCGCUAGUCGGGCGGCAACGUCGGGCCUAACGCCUAACAAAAAAAUCAGGGAAUACGUGGGGAUUAAUCGGGGUCUAGUUUUAGGGUUUUUAUAUAGGUUUUAUAAAUAUAUUAUAUAUUUUAAUUAUAAACAUAAAACUUUGUUUGCACAGUGGUUAGCAGGCUUUAACCAUGACAAAUUCACCCGGGUUUGAACCUCUUCCAGGGAUUUUUUGGUUGUUUUUAACUUUAAAACAUUAAUGAGGGGUAGAAUAGAUAUUACGUAAUCAUCUUCUUCCUUAUGUAUCUGCUGGAACCCUAACAUGGGGCCGCCUCACCUUUUCUUUUUCGUUUUUCAUUAUUUUCUUUCUUUUUCCUCUGUAUUUAUAGCCAAAAAUGAUAGAUUGAUCAGAAAACCUUCGAUUUUAAAGUUUAAAUGAACGCAAUCUUGAAUUUUUUAAGAUAGCCGAGUUUCUUCUCCGAUUAGCACCAAAUCGCGGCGGUUGGAGGCCGAGGAACGAUUUUCCGGCGAGUAAGCGGCCUUAGGCGCCGCCUUUUCGAACACGGGUAUGGAGUAUAUGUGUUGGCAAGAGGUAAAAGGAACCUAAAAUCUUAUCUAAUUCAAGUAUUCAAUUUUGACUUAGCAAUAAUGGCUGAUUGUGACUUUGUGAGUCACUCUCAUUUACUACCUAUAAAGAGCACAAUUAAUAACAAACAACAUUUAAAAGUUAGAGCUAUCUACUCUCCUUUAUACCAGUUUAAUAAAUUCACAAAAUAGAUGAGAUUAAAUAUUUAUUGUAAGUCUAUAUUGAAUCUUAUACAUGAACAAUGUACAAGCAGAGGUUAUAUACAGACACUGAUACUAGGGUAUACCAUAGAAGUUAAUGACAAUAUAUUAUGUACAAUAAAUAAGAAUAUACGAAGAUCAAGCGUUGAUAGUGAUUGAUCUCUAAUACGUCCCCUCAAAAUGGAGGGGUUUGCACACUCCAAUCUUGCCAGCAAAUGAAAUGAAUGUUGGAUAUGGUAGGGGUUUGGUCAUAGCAUCUGCUAGCUGAUCCUCGGUUGAGACGUGUACCACUCGUAGUGUGCAUGACUUGACUUGGUUUCGAAUAAACUGGUAGUCUAGCGCAACAUGCUUUAUUCUUGAAUGGAAGACGGGAUUGACCCAUAAGUAGGUGGCUCCAUCAUAUGGCUGGUGGAAGGAGAGGCUUUCAAGGUCCGACAUAAUAUGGUGGGUUGAGCCCCUGUCCAUUAGCCAGUUGGUAGUGUUGUAGGAAGCAGGUACGGUGAGAUUAGCUCGAGGAUUUCAAGGUAUGAAUGGACUAACUUUCUGCUGACGAGGAGACUGAUAGCUUUUGAGUUGAGAGCAUUGCUUGGCACUGUUUCCUUGUGUGCCACAGAUCUGACAGCAUCCAAGUUGUUGCGCUGUUGUGCCAUAUUGGCUGUGACAAGAGUUGGUGAGACAAGAGCAUCCCUGAGGGAGAGGAGUUUGGCCUCGUGGUUGAGUAGGCGCUCAUGCAGCUCCGUGAUCAAUGGGGGAACGUCCCUGCCUUCGAUCUGGUCUAUGACAUUUUUGUAAUCUUCUGGAAGUCCUUCGAGGAUGAGAUCGAUCUGGUCUUCGUGGUCAACUGCUUUCCCGAGAAUAGCUACUCCAUCCAAACGAGUUGUGAUGCUUUGAAAGUAAACGUCGAUUGUCUUGGUAUCCUUUUUCCAGUUCUUGAGUUGUGUCUUUAGCUGUUUUGUGUGACCUCUGCUUGGUUUUGCAUAGGUUGAUGCAAGUGUGGUUCACACAUAAGAGAAGGUGGUGCAAUGCGAGACAGGAGGCUGGAGAGAUUGAGAGAUUGCUCUUAGAAGUUCGCUAUAAAGGAGCUUGUCUGGAUGUUUCCACAAAGUGUAGGCCAGAUUUGUUGGAUGUGAUCAAGUCUUCAUCUUAUAUUAUUAGUUUAGAAGAUUCAUAUAUUAUAUAGUUAAGUAAUUAAUUUAUGUAUCGUAUCACACACCGAACAGAUACAAAUAUAACUGUUAACUGCAAAACAGUUACACAUGUGCAUGUACGUGUCUCUACAUUGGGGUGUCUUCAAGAGACAUGUCCCUUAGUUAGUGUCUCAUGUAAGACUAUAAAUACAUUCUAAAUAUCUAAUAAAGUAAUGUGGUUUUCGUUAUAUAAGAAUAAAGAAAUAUAUUGAGUGUCAAGGAAGAUAUAGAGAACGAGAGAUAAAACAGAGUAAAAUAUGUGUUGUCUGGUCCUUAAUAACUUUGAGAGUUUAAAGAUCUACAUGGUAUCAGAACUGUCAUAGAGAGAGUUGAUAGAUCUUUUGUUUGUUCAAGGACAGCCACGAUGCUGUCAAACUUUUGUGGUAAGGAGAUAAGAACCUUUUGAACAAAUUGGUAAUCAGUCUUGUCCUCACCAUGAACUCUUAGUUGAUUACUCAUGUUAAUCAAUUUGGUUGUGAAAUCAUUUAUGGUUUCACAUUCCUCCAUCUUAAGAUUCUCAUAUUCUCUUCUCAAGGUCUGAAGAUUAAUCAUCCUUACUUGUGAACUUCCUUGGAACUCCGUUUCCAAAGCGUUCCAAGCUUCUUUUGCGUUUGAUGCGGGAGUAAUUCUCGGAAAUAUUGAAUCCAAAACUGCACUUUGAAGAAUCUUAAGAGCCAUCAUAUCCUUCAUCACUUGAUCAUCUCUUUCUCUGGUUAACGCUGGUGUGUUUUCAGAAGACGAAAUUAACGUAAUUCCAUUUUCGAUAACGAGCAUCUUCAAACCAAAACUCAAUUAAGGAGGAGUGUUAGUUUAUAAUUGAGUUUGAUAUAAUUUUCAUAAUUAAAUGAUAAUGUAUGUGUAAACUCAUGGAGAUGGUGAGUUUUUAUCAAAAGACUUCAUCAAGCUAUGUCAACAGAGUGGCAUACAUCGUGAAGUAACAACACCCUACACUCCACAACAAAACGGUAUUGCAGAGAGACGGAACCGUACACUUGUGGAAAUUGCAGAGAGACGGAACCGUACACUUGUGGAAAUUGCUAGAUUGAUGCUCAUGGAGAAGCGUCUACCAAACAAGUUUUGGGCUGAAGCUAUUGCAACAUCAACAUAUUUGCAAAAUAGAUUACCAUCUGAGCCAUUGGAGAAAGAUGAGACUCCAUUAGAAGUAUGGAGUGGGAAGAAACCAAGUGUAAAUCAUUUGAAGAAAACUUGACUUUAAAGCCAAGCAAGGGAUAUUUGUUGGUUAUAGCAAUGAAUCAAAAGGAUGCAGAGUUUUCUUACUAAGUGAAGAGAAGCGUCUACCAAACAAGUUUUGGGCUGAAGCUAUUGUAACAUCAACUUAUUUGCGAAAUAGAUUACCAUCUAAGCCAUUGGAGAAAGAUGAGACUCCAUUAGAAGUAUGGAGUGGGAAGAAACCAAGUGUAAACCAUUUGAAGAAAACUUCACGUUAAAGCCAAGCAAGGGAUAUUUGUUGGUUAUAGCAAUGAAUCAAAAGGAUACAGAGUUUUCUUACUAAGUGAAGAGAAGCGUCUACCAAACAAGUUUUGGGCUGAAGCUAUUGCAACAUCAACUUAUUUGCAAAAUAGAUUAGCAUCUAAGCCAUUGGAGAAAGAUGAGACUCCAUUAGAAGUAUGGAGUGGGAAGAAACCAAGUGUAAAUCAUUUGAAGAAAACUUGACGUUAAAGCCAAGCAAGGGAUAUUUGUUGGUUAUAGCAAUGAAUCAAAAGGAUACAGAGUUUUCUUACUAAGUGAAGAGAAGCGUCUACCAAACAAGUUUUGGGCUGAAGCUAUUGCAACAUCAACAUAUUUGCAAAAUAUAUUACCAUCUAAGCCAUUGGAGAAAGAUGAGACUUCUUUAGAAGUAUGGAGUGGGAAGAAACCAAGUGUAAAUUAUUUGAAGAAAACUUGACGUUAAAGCCAAACAAGGGAUAUUUGUUGGUUAUAGCAAUGAAUCAAAAAGAUGGAGAGUUUUCUUAGUAAGUGAAGAGAAGCGUCUACCAAACAAGUUUUGGGCUGAAGCUAUUGUAACAUCAACUUAUUUGCGAAAUAGAUUACCAUCUAAGCCAUUGGAGAAAGAUGAGACUCCAUUAGAAGUAUGGAGUGGGAAGAAACCAAGUGUAAAUCAUUUGAAGAAAACUUGACGUUAAAGCCAACCAAGGGAUAUUUGUUGGUUAUAGCAAUGAAUCAAAAGAUACAGAGUUUUCUUACUAAGUGAAGAGAAGCGUCUACCAAACAAGUUUUGGGCUGAAGCUAUUGCAACAUCAACUUAUUUUCAAAAUAGAUUACCAUCUAAGCCAUUGGAGAAAGAUGAGACUCCAUUAGAAGUAUGGAGUGGGAAGAAACCAAGUGUAAAUCAUUUGAAGAAAACUUGACGUUAAAGCCAAGCAAGGGAUAUUUGUUGGUUAUAGCAAUGAAUCAAAAGGAUACAGAGUUUUCUUACUAAGUGAAGAGAAGCGUCUACCAAACAAGUUUUGGGCUGAAGCUAUUGCAACAUCAACUUAUUUGCAAAAUAGAUUACCAUCUAAGCCAUUGGAGAAAGAUGAGACUCCAUUAGAAGUAUGGAGUGGGAAGAAACCAAUUGUAAAUUAUUUGAAGAAAACUUGACGUUAAAGCCAAGCAAGGGAUAUUUGUUGGUUAUAGCAAUGAAUCAAAAGGAUACAGAGUUUUCUUACUAAGUGAAGAGAAGCGUCUACCAAACAAGUUUUGGGCUGAAGCUAUUGCAACAUCAACUUAUUUGCAAAAUAGAUUACCAUCUAAGCCAUUGGAGAAAGAUGAGACUCCAUUAGAAGUAUGGAGUGGGAAGAAACCAAGUGUAAAUCAUUUGAAGAAAACUUGACAUUAAAGCCAAGCAAGGGAUAUUUGUUGGUCAUAGCAAUGAAUCAAAAUGAUACAGAGUUUUCUUACUAAGUGAAGAGAAGCGUCUACCAAACAAGUUUUGGGCUGAAGCUAUUGCAACAUCAACUUAUUUGCAAAAUAGAUUACCAUCUAAGCCAUUGGAGAAAGAUGAGACUCCAUUAGAAGUAUGGAGUGGGAAGAAACCAAUUGUAAAUCAUUUGAAGAAAACUUGACGUUAAAACCAAGCAAGGGAUAUUUGUUGGUUAUAGCAAUGAAUCAAAAGGAUACAGAGUUUUCUUACUAAGCGAAGAGAAGAGAAGCGUCUACUAAAUAAGUUUUUGGCUGAAGCUAUUGCAACAUCAACUUAUUUGCAAAAUAAAUUACCAUCUAAGCCAUUGGAGAAAGAUAAGACUCCAUUAGAAGUAUGGUGUGGGAAGAAACCAAUUGUAAAUGAUUUGAAGAAAACUUGACGUUAAAGCCAAGCAAGGGAUAUUUGUUGGUUAUAGCAAUGAAUCAAAAGGAUACAGAGUUUUCUUACUAAGUGAAGAGAAGCGUCUACCAAACAAGUUUUGGGCUGAAGCUAUUGCAACAUCAACUUAUUUGCAAAAUAGAUUACCAUCUAAGCCAUUGGAGAAAGAUGAGACUCCAUUAGAAGUAUGGAGUGGGAAGAAACCAAGUGUAAAUCAUUUGAAGAAAACUUGACGUUAAAGCCAAGCAAGGGAUAUUUGGUUGUUAUAGCAAUGAAUCAAAAGGAUACAGAGUUUUCUUACUAAGUGAAGAGAAGCGUCUACCAAACAAGUUUUGGGCUGAAGCUAUUGCAACAUCAACAUAUUUGCAAAAUAUAUUACCAUCUAAGCCAUUGGAGAAAGAUGAGACUCCCUUAGAAGUAUGGAGUGGGAAGAAACCAAGUGUAAAUCAUUUGAAGAAAACUUGACGUUAAAGCCAAGCAAGGGAUAUUUGUUGGUUAAAGCAAUGAAUCAAAAAGAUGCAGAGUUUUCUUACUAAGUGAAGAGAAGGGUCUACCAAACAAGUUUUGGGCUGAAGCUAUUGUAACAUCAACUUAUUUGCGAAAUAGAUUACCAUCUAAGCCAUUGGAGAAAGAUGAGACUCCAUUAGAAGUAUGGAGUGGGAAGAAACCAAGUGUAAAUCAUUUGAAGAAAACUUGACGUUAAAGCCAACCAAGGGAUAUUUGUUGGUUAUAGCAAUGAAUCAAUAGAUACAGAGUUUUCUUACUAAGUGAAGAGAAGCGUCUACCAAACAAGUUUUGGGCUGAAGCUAUUGCAACAUCAACUUAUUUGCAAAAUAGAUUACCAUCUAAGCCAUUGGAGAAAGAUGAGACUCCAUUAGAAGUAUGGAGUGGGAAGAAACCAAGUGUAAAUCAUUUGAAGAAAACUUGACGUUAAAGCCAAGCAAGGGAUAUUUGUUGGUUAUAGCAAUGAAUCAAAAGGAUACAGAGUUUUCUUACUAAGUGAAGAGAAGCGUCUACCAAACAAGUUUUGAGCUAAAGCUAUUGCAACAUCAACUUAUUUGCAAAAUAGAUUACCAUCUAAGCCAUUGGAGAAAGAUGAGACUCCAUUAGAAGUAUGGAGUGGGAAGAAACCAAUUGUAAAUUAUUUGAAGAAAACUUGACGUUAAAGCCAAGCAAGGGAUAUUUGUUGGUUAUAGCAAUGAAUCAAAAGGAUACAGAGUUUUCUUACUAAGUGAAGAGAAGCGUCUACCAAACAAGUUUUGGGCUGAAGCUAUUGCAACAUCAACUUAUUUGCAAAAUAGAUUACCAUCUAAGCCAUUGGAGAAAGAUGAGACUCCAUUAGAAGUAUGGAGUGGGAAGAAACCAAGUGUAAAUCAUUUGAAGAAAACUUGACGUUAAAGCCAAGCAAGGGAUAUUUGUUGGUUAUUGCAAUGAAUCAAAAUGAUACAGAGUUUUCUUACUAAGUGAAGAGAAGCGUCUACCAAACAAGUUUUGGGCUGAAGCUAUUGUAACAUCAACUUAUUUGCAAAAUAGAUUACCAUCUAAGCCAUUGGAGAAAGAUGAGACUCCAUUAGAAGUAUGGAGUGGGAAGAAACCAAUUGUAAAUCAUUUGAAGAAAACUUGACGUUAAAGCCAAGUAAGGGAUAUUUGUUGGUUAUAGCAAUGAAUCAAAAGGAUACAGAGUUUUCUUACUAAGUGAAGAGAACCGUCUACCAAAUAAGUUUUGGGCUGAAGCUAUUGCAACAUCAACUUAUUUGCAAAAUAAAUUACCAUCUAAGCCAUUGGAGAAAGAUAAGACUCCAUUAGAAGUAUGGUGUGGGAAUAAACUAAUUGUAAAUCAUUUGAAGAAAACUUGACGUUAAAGCCAAGCAAGGGAUAUUUGUUGGUUAUAGCAAUGAAUCAAGGAUAAAGAGUUUUCUUACUAAGUGAAGAGAAGAUCGAAGUGUCAAGAGACAUGACAUUCGAUGAAGAGAAGACAUGGAAUUGGGAGAUUUAGGAGGUGAAGAAAUCGAUUCUUUCACAAUUCAAAAUCAAGUCUUCAAGGGAACAAGGAGAUCAAGGAACAAGUAAUGAUACAAGCGAUCACGAAGAGCAAAUAAGUGAUUUAGUCAAACAACUACAAAUCUCAAACAGAGGAGUUCAAAGCACACGGUCAAAGAA